rnacentral:rRNA from 1 species
ACCGCCCGUCACACCAUGGGAGUCGUUUAUUCCAGAAGCGCCUGCGCUAACCCCUAUGCAAAUAGGGGGAGUAGGGUUCCAAGGAGUGAACGGUAACUGGGGUG